AAAUUCGGAUUAACACCGCAUAUUACCAUAUUAUGGCAUCAUAAGUUGGUUAAAUAUUUAUAGGAUAUGGAUGGGCUCGCGUGACAUUAGCUAGUUGGUGAGGUAACGGCUCACCAAGGCUACGAUGUCUAGGGGCUCUGAGAGGAGAAUCCCCCACACUGGUACUGAGACACGGACCAGACUCCUACGGGAGGCAGCAGUAAGGAAUAUUGGUCAAUGGGGGCAACCCUGAACCAGCCAUGCCGCGUGCAGGAUGACUGCCCUACGGGUUGUAAACUGCUUUUAUCUAGGAAUAACCCUCGGUACGUGUACCGAGCUGAAUGUACUAGAAGAAUAAGGAUCGGCUAACUCCGUGCCAGCAGCCGCGGUAAUACGGAGGAUCC
rnacentral:rRNA from 1 species